rnacentral:piRNA from 1 species
UGUCCAGGACCCUUUUGUUAACCUCCC